UAAUAAAGUUAUUUAUUUUAGCUAAAUAUAUACAAAAGGUAUUUCACCUAUCAUUAUUUCAACUAUAAUAUUGUAUACAAAAUGCAUUUCACAUAUCAUCACUUGAAAUAUAAUUACACAAACUUGGCAUUUUGAAAAUUAUAUAAUUCACCUUCUAAACUUAUACUAAGUCUGUUUUGAGCCAUUUCAAACCAAUCUCCAUUUGAAAUCUCAAACGCAUGUAAAUGGAAACCUCUUGAAGUUCUUCUCUUAUGACAUGCAACCUGCAAAUAUGAAAUAUAAGAUUUUAAAACCAACCAACGGUUAUGAAUUUUCUUGCUCGAAAAUGUGGAAGACCGGGUAAAAGCAUAGUCUAUUUUCACAUACUUCAAUAACGAAGGAUGCUAAAAGCCAUGUACAUAAAUGUCUAUUAUACACCUAGCAAGCUUUAAAGAAAACCUAAUAGAAGAAAAAAAAGAGAGGAAGAGAGUGCUUACAUAUGCCGCAAAGUGGCAUUAUAUGCCAUGCUCCCUAAGGGACACUGAACCAUCUCUCAAACCAUUGUCUGAUGGUGUUUUUACAAGAACAAUAAGAGUCAAGAUAACGCAUGUGGUAUUUCAAAUGCUAUUGAAUAAUUAUGCAAUAUAGGAUCACCACACAUAAUUUGAAUCACACCAUUCGUUAGAUGUCAUUUGAUCGUACGUGGAAAAGUAAGCUUGUAGGACUUAUAUUAAUAAUCGAGGAUUUAAAAAAAAAAACACAUCACAAGAUUAAAUAAAACACAGCAGAGAAGGUAAAGCAUAGAGAAGCAACUAACCCAAGGCACAAUUAAAACAAAAGGGAUGUAUGCUUGAGAAAAAGAUCAAUAGAAGCAGACCAUAUAACAAAUAGUAAGCAAGUUGAUCCAUUUAUAGGAAAUGAAAUGAGUGAAGUGGGUGAGUAUCUCACAGAGAAGUGAAAGAAAUGGACCUCAUUUGAUCACUUAGAUAAAAAUUUAUACAAUUAAAAGACCAUUGAGCGAAACAGGAGUGACAAUACUGAUGAAAUCUUAAACGGGAACUAAAAAAGCUAACCAAAAUCUCGAGCCACCGACUGUGCAAAUUGAUUCAAGGCCUCAGAUGUAGGGUUUGUGUGGUGGUUGUUGGUGACCUAUGGAUGGGAGCUUUUUUCUGUUUUUGGUAGUUUAUGGUUGAUUGAAGGAAAAGAUGUGGUGGUACUUAUUAGUGGAGUUUGUGAGGUUAAAGUGGAAUGUUGCUGAUUAAAUUUGAUCAUAAAUGUGUCGGCACUACGUAGCAAAUGAAGCAUGUGUGCACUUAUAGUAUUUGAUGCAAGUAAAUCACUCAAACAGUUUUAGCAUUUUUCAAUAGUUAAAAUUUAAUAAAAGAUAAUUAAAUUUUCUAAAUAUAUCAUUAGAAGGAUUGUCUUAUCGGAAAUAGCCUCUCUACCUUCAUAACUCAUAAUAUGUUAUUGUAUCGUUAGAAGGAUUUAAAUCAGCAUCAGACAUGAAUGUACAAAAUGCAACUUUAAAGAUUUGACAGGAACUUUCUAUUCAAUUACUAUGCAUACAAAUAAUGAUCUUGGAUGCACUACAAACAAUCAAACAUGACAUGAAACUAAAAGAGAAUGUCCAGGAAAUUAAGAACUCUUAACACAGUAAUAGUCACGAUAUGACACAGUAACACAAGAUCGUCAUGCAGAGAUUAUACUUGUGCAUGACAGUUUAGGUGACAUUUCAGUGGUGUUUACCUUAGAAACGUAUCCACAAUCCUCAAAAUUUGGCCUCAGCUCUUGCAUCACAACAAAAGCUAAGAUUUUAAACCUUGAAGUUUAGCUCAUAUCGAACAAGUCACAGUAACUCAUGUUUGAGUAGCUAACUUCUUCAAGUAUCGUAUCAAAAAAAGACAAACUUUACCAAAUUAGAUGAAAGACCAGGAAAAUAAUUCAGACACAUAAUGUAACUAUUAUUUUAACAUGAAUUUGCAUGGGUGUAGGUAUUGAAACUUGAUCCACAUUCAUAAGUCAACUGGAGUGAUCAUUAUUCCCUAAAAGUGGAUAACAAAAUGUUCUGCAGAAAAAAAUUAAAUCAAAACAAUUACAUUUUCUUUUCAAACUCGCUUUUAGUACCGAUAGAAAAUUCUGGUAUUAAUUAAUUUUAAGUUUGAAAUGAGGUGAAAAUUUAUGCGAAGUAAUCAAUGCAAAUUUCAAAACCUGUAAAAAACUCUUGUUGUACAUAUGUUGCAAUGGAGAUAACACAAAAGGGAAAGAAGAAAACUGAAGAAUGUCAACCAGCAAGAGGCGUAAAUAGUUGGCAACUAUUGUGGGGGUUAUAUAACUAUACCAACAAUUAUAUGUAGUACCUCUGUCGAAGCAUAUUAAAUCAAUGGCUUUGAUUCUCCUAUCUACAACAUGGUUGAGAUAUCUCACACUGUCCAUUUUGCAAGAUGUAGAGAACAGGCCACAAACUCACAAAAGGGCUAGUUUAACUCUGCAUCUGUACCUACAAACAACCAAAAGAAAAACUAUGUCCACUAUAAAUGAAUGCUUUUGAGAUACUGAAAGUGGUUCAUCAUAAGCAGAAGGUGUUGUUUGUCCUUCUAGACCAAUGUUUUCACUAACCUACAUUGCCUUAAGUAUGAGAGUUGCGUCAAUUGCAUCAUUUACUACUUCAACGUCAAAGUGCUCUGCCAAAAGUCGUUGACUCAUAGGAAGAGACGGUACAUUUAGUUUCUUGCAUUUUACUUCUAAUGACAUAUUUCUCAUCAUCUAGAACACUUUAUUCUUCCUUUUCUUAAUCCUUUACAGUGUAUUUACAUAAGAUUAUAUACUUAAUGAUCAACAACAACCUAUUCCUGAUAAAACAAUAUAUCUUUUCUCAAUUAUUUAAAUUUUAGGCAUAGUUUGUAAUGCUUGAGAACUUCCAAUAGCGACAUGAAAGUACAAAAUCUUAACGACCUAGAACCACUAAUACAACUCAUUUAAUAGAAAAAAUGUGAGAAACAAUCACCUUCGAUAGACCUUGAUUGAGUAGAAACCUGUCACUAUAUUUUGACAACCAUUGUCUUAACCAUGGCAACUCCUAAAGAUCCUCCAGUUGAAUUAUAAUUGAAACCGCAAGAAGAAGAAUAUCUCUGCAACAAUUUAAAAAAAAAAAAAGGUAAAUUAUGCAACUUUUAUAAGUAAAUAAUUGACUCGAGAACUUGUUUCGAAUCUCUCCAAAUUUUGAUGAAAGGUUGUAAUUUCAACGGCACCUUAUUGUUUACUUGAUUUACACUAACCUAUAAGUUAAAUAGAAAAUACACUCACCAUAAAUUUAAAAAUAAGUCUUGCAAUUUCAUCAGGAAAAAGUAUAAGCACAAAGGGCUAAGAAGUGCAGUGCAGCUACUGCUAAAUCGUCAAAAAGUAAAAAGAUAAGAAAUGAACAUUUUCCUUUUCAAUCAUGAAUAAAUUGAAUGAUAUACGAUAUUUCUUUGUUAGUGCUAAAUCAUCAAAAAUAGUUGAUAAAAUAUAAAUGCAUUACUGACCUUUAGGAAUGUAGUUGACAUAGCCUUCCUCUAUUCUCUUUGAGUUUUUCUUAUUGCCAUUGACGACUAUAAAAUUGACACAAAAACAGUCAAUAAAGAUAUGCAUGUGAAAAAUAAGUUAAGAAAAGAUUCAAAUACUCAGGAAAUUUCAUAAAAAUACGACAUUUUAGAUUCUCAUUUCUGUUUCACAAUAAUCUUUGUCUUCCUAAAAGAUUCUCACGGAUAUUAGACCAAAAUCAAAAUCCUAAUUUAUGCAAUUGAAACAACACCAAAUCCAUAGGAACUAAAUGUAGUUGAAUAUAGAUAUCACGGGAGAGAGAAAAUAGAGAGCAUGACUAAAGAAUAAAUCAGUGAAGAAGAAAUUGAGAAAUCACCCAACUUGGCUCUGAGUGGUGAAAGAGAAUGGAGAACAAAAUAGGAGAAACAAA
rnacentral:lncRNA from 1 species